ensembl:misc_RNA 7SK 7SK RNA
GGAUGUGAGGGCUCUGGCUACACCACCUAUCACCCCAUUGAUCUCCAGGGUUGAUUCAACUGAUCUGGCUGGCCAGGCGGGUGCCCCCUUCCUCCCUCACAGCUCCAUGUGCAACCCUCCUAAAAGUGUGAAGGAGCACCCUUGGUCCAAGAGGACAACCUUCCCCAACAGAGGAGGACUGAUCUUGGUGGAGGGUAUACGAGUAGUGGAGCUCCCCUGCUAGAACCCCCAAACAAGCUUUCAGGGUCCAUUUGUAGGAGAAUAUAGGGUAGUCAAGUUUCCCAGACACAGCCAAAUGAAGUGCUGUGGCAGUCUGCCUUUCUUU